UCCGUUUGAGUACCUCAGGACGGUCAAGAUGAUAACAGAUGAGUUAGGGGCAGAUGACAGUAGAGCCAUUCAGAUGGCUGGGUUCACACUGAAGUGCAAGAAGGCCCGAGAGUGGUUUAAAAACUAUGUGAACCCGAGGUUGGACAGUCUAUCAUGGGAGGAGUUUGCUAAUGAGUUUGCAGGAUGGGCUUUCCCUGAUAGCUCAAGGGAGUUGAAGAUGAUCGAGUUUGAACAGUUAAGGCAGACAGAGG
rnacentral:lncRNA from 1 species